AUACGUAGGGUGCAAGCGUUAAUCGGAAUUACUGGGCGUAAAGCGUGCGCAGGCGGUUUUGUAAGACAGAGGUGAAAUCCCCGGGCUCAACCUGGGAACUGCCUUUGUGACUGGAAGGCCAGAGUACGGCAGAGGGGGACGGAAUUCCGCGUGUAGCAGGGAAAUGCGUAGAUAUGCGGAGGAACACCGAUGGCGAAGGCAAUCCCCUGGGCCUGUACUGACGCUCAUGCACGAAAGCGUGGGGAGCAAACAGGAUUAGAUACCCUGGUAGUCCACGCCCUAAACGAUGUCAACUGGUUGUUGGGUCUUCAUUGACUCAGUAACGAAGCUAACGCGUGAAGUUGACCGCCUGGGGAGUACGGCCGCAAGGUUGAAACUCAAAUGAAUUGACGGGG
rnacentral:rRNA from 1 species